rnacentral:rRNA from 1 species
AGAUUGAACGCUGGCGGCAGGCCUAACACAUGCAAGUCGAGCGGCAGCACGGGUACUUGUACCUGGUGGCGAGCGGCGGACGGGUGAGUAAUGCCUAGGAAUCUGCCUGAUAGUGGGGGAUAACGCUCGGAAACGGACGCUAAUACCGCAUACGUCCUACGGGAGAAAGCAGGGGACCUUCGGGCCUUGCGCUAUCAGAUGAGCCUAGGUCGGAUUAGCUAGUUGGUGGGGUAAUGGCUCACCAAGGCGACGAUCCGUAACUGGUCUGAGAGGAUGAUCAGUCACACUGGAACUGAGACACGGUCCAGACUCCUACGGGAGCAGCAGUGGGGAAUUUUGGACAAUGGGGGAAACCCUGAUCCAGCCAUCCCGCGUGUGCGAUGAAGGCCUGGUUGUAAG